AUGCCCCCAGGAACCGAUGGAUGUGGUGGCGCUGUUCGGUCUGAGGGGCAUCCAGCACACUCCCAUCAGCAUCAAGAAUGCCCGCGUGUCUCAGCACUACAAGGCCAGCCUCACUGCCACAUUCAACCUGUUUCCGGAGGCCAAGUUUGCUGUGGUCCUGGAAGAGGACCUGGACAUUGCCGUGGAUUUUUUCAGGUGAGGGAGGUUUCUAGGUUUCAGGUGAGGUCCCUGGGUCUCUAGGAGAGAAAGCAGCAGGGUGUCUUGGGAGCUUUCUGGAGGAAGUGAGCUCAAAAUGGGAGAAAGCCUGAGCAGAGGCAGGAUGGUGGGUGCUGGGGCUGGAGCAAAAGGUAGAAGGAUGAAUGGAAACAGCAGAGAUUUGGGGGUUGACUCCUGAGUCCCAGCUCUUCCAGCUUCACUGCGUGACUGGGUUUGUCCUUGCCCCUUUCUCGACUCUUGGACCUUGGCUCUCUCAGUUUCCUGAGCCAAUCCAUCCACCUACUGGAGGAGGAUGACAGCCUGUACUGCAUCUCUGCCUGGAAUGACCAGGUAGGCUGGGUGGCCAGGGGUUGGGAGGCGGGUUUCUUGAGGCCACAAGCUAAUACAGCUCCCUGCCCCCAGGGGUAUGAACAUACAGCUGAGGAC
rnacentral:lncRNA from 1 species